UUGCAAUGAUGAUUACACUUAGGACACCUUAAGAUGCAUAAUGAUAAGAAUUAGUUGUGAACUGAGCAAG